GACGAAAGCUGGCGGCGUGCCUAAUACAUGCAAGUAGGACGCAGUUGCGAACGGGUGAGUAACGAGUAGGUGACUGCCUAUUAGAGGGGGAUAACUAUUGGAAACGAUAGCAAAUACAGCAUCCUAGUAGAUGGAACUGCGUUGUAUUAGCUAGUAGGUAGGGUAAUGGCCUACCUAGGCGACGAUACAUAGCCGACCUGAGAGGGUGAUCGGCCACACUGGGACUGAGACACGGCCCAGACUCCUACGGGAGGCAGCAGUAGGGAAUCUUCGGCAAUGGGGGGAACCCUGACCGAGCAACGCCGCGUGAGUGAAGAAGGUUUUCGGAUCGUAAAGCUCUGUUGUUAAGGAAGCGGUACUUAACCAGAAAGGGACGGCUAACUACGUGCCAGCAGCCGCGGUAAUUC
rnacentral:rRNA from 1 species